UAAGGUGAACCUCGAAUGGCUCAUUAAAUCAGUUACCAAAUUACUUGGAUAACUGUGGUAAUUCUAGAGCUAAUACAUGCAAACAGAGUCCCGACCAGAAAUGGAAGGGACGCUUUUGUUAGAUCAAAACCAUUCGGUCGGCUUAUCCGSUCCGUUUGCCUUGGUGACUCUGAAUAACUUUGGGCUGAUCGCACGGUCCUGGUACCGGGGACGCAUCUUUCAAAUGUCUGCCUUAUCAACUGUCGAUGGUAGGUUCUGCGCCUACCAUGGCUGUAACGGGUAACGGGGAAUCAGGGUUCGAUUCCGGAGAGGGAGCCUGACAAACGGCUACCACAUCCAAGGAAGGCAGCAGGCGCGCAAAUUACCCACUCCCGGCACGGGGAGGUAGUGACGAAAAAUAACGAUACGGGACUCAUCCGAGGCCCCGUAAUCGGAAUGAGAACAUUUUAAAUCUCUUAACGAUUACCCAUUAGAGGGCCAGUCUGGUGCCAGCAGCCGCGGUAAUUCCAGCUCUAAUAGCGUAUAUUAAAAUUGCUGCGGUUAAAAAGCUCGUAGUUUGACCUGUGCCCUGCGCUGCCGGUUCACCGCUCGUCGGUGUCCAACUGGCAUGCGUGCGGGGCGUCCUGCCGGUGGGCGCGAGCCGACUGCGGCGGCAGGCGCUCUCGGGCCAGGCUCCGGCGGUGAGCAAUCGCUGUCGGGCCGGGCUCUCGGGGGCGUUGGUGCCCCGUGGAAGGCGGACCCCGAUCUCACCCGCCGCGGUGCUCUUAACUGAGUGUCGUGCGGGCCGGCACGUUUACUUUGAACAAAUUAACGUGCUUAACGCAGGCCUUUGUCUGCCCGAAUACUCUUGCAUGGAAUAAUGGAAUAGGACCUCGGUUCUAUUUUGUUGGUUUUCGGAAGUCGAGGUAAUGAUUAAUGGGGAUUGCCGGGGGCAUCCGUAUUGCGACGUUAGAGGUGAAAUUCUUGGAUCGUCGCAAGACGAACUGGAGCGAAAGCGUUUGCCAAGUAUGUUUUCUUUAAUCAAGAACGAAAGUUAGAGGUUCGAAGGCGAUCAGAUACCGCCCUAGUUCUAACCAUAAACUAUGCCAACUAGCGAUCCGCUGUGUGUCUUAGAUGUCACGGCGGGCAGCCUCCGGGAAACCAAAGUCUUUGGGUUCCGGGGGAAGUAUGGUUGCAAAGCUGAAACUUAAAGGAAUUGACGGAAGGGCACCACCAGACGUGGAGCCUGCGGCUUAAUUUGACUCAACGCGGGGAACCUCAUCAGGCCAGGACACCGGAAGGAUUGACAGAUUGAGAGCUCUUUCUUGAUUCGGUGGGUGGUGGUGCAUGGCCGUUCUUAGUUCGUGGAGUGAUUUGUCUGCUUAAUUGCGAUAACGAACGAGAUCCUACCCUACUAACUAGUCGAAACCGGCAUCCCCUGUGCAGCCGGCGACCAACACUCUUCUUAGAGGGACAGGCGGCUUCCAGCCGCAGGAAGUGGGGCAAUAACAGGUCUGUAAUGCCCUUAGAUGUUCUGGGCAGCACGCGCGCUACACUGAAGGUAUCAACGUGUGUUUUCCUUGCUCGAGAGGGCCGGGUAACCCGUUGAAACUCCUUCGUGCUAGGGAUUGGGGCUUGCAAUUAUUCCCCACCAACGAGGAAUGCCUAGUAAGCGGGAAUCAUUACUUCCCGCUGAUUAAGUCCCUGCCCUUUGUACACACCGCCCGUCGCUACUACCGAUUGAAUAUUUUAGUGAGGUCUUCGGACCAGCCCGCGGACCCUUCUCAGGGGCCGUAGAGCCGGAAAGAUGACCGAACUUGAAUAUUUAGAGGAAGUAAAAGUCGUAACAAGGUUUCCGUAGGUGAACCUGCGGAAGGAUC
rnacentral:rRNA from 1 species